GACGAACGCUGGCGGCGUGCUUAACACAUGCAAGUCGAACGGUAAGGCCCUUCGGGGUACACGAGUGGCGAACGGGUGAGUAACACGUGGGUGAUCUGCCCUGCACUUCGGGAUAAGCCUGGGAAACUGGGUCUAAUACCGGAUAGGACCACUGCCUGCAUGGGUGGUGGUGGAAAGCUUUUGCGGUGUGGGAUGGGCCCGCGGCCUAUCAGCUUGUUGGUGGGGUGAUGGCCUACCGAGGCGACGACGGGUAGCCGGCCUGAGAGGGUGACCGGCCACACUGGGACUGGGAUACGGCCCAGACUCCUACGGGAGACAGCAGUGGGGAAUAUUGCACAAUGGGCGCAAGCCUGAUGCAGCGACGCCGCGUGAGGGAUGACGGCCUUCGGGUUGUAAACCUCUUUCAGCACCGACGAUGCGCAAGUGACGGUAGGUGCAGAAGAAGGACCGGCCAACUACGUGCCAGCCGCCGCGGUAA
rnacentral:rRNA from 1 species